CACGUAGGGGCCAAGCGUUGUCCGGAAUUACUGGGCGUAAAGGGCGCGUAGGCGGCCCGCUAAGUCGAACGUGAAAUCCCCAGGCUCAACCUGGGAACUGCGUCCGAUACUGGCAGGCUUGAAUCCGGGAGAGGGAUGUGGAAUUCCAGGUGUAGCGGUGAAAUGCGCAGAUAUCAGGAGGAACACCGAUGGCGAAGGCAGGUCUCUGGGCAUUAACUGACGCUGAGGAGCGAAAGCAUGGGGAGCGAACAGG
rnacentral:rRNA from 1 species